UCUUGCGCAAUGGGCGGAAGCCUGACGCAGCAACGCCACGUGGGGGAUGACGGCCUUCGGGUUGUAAACCUCUUUCGGCCUUGACGAAGGCAUCUCUGUUGGGGGUGUUGACGGUAGGGGCAGAAGAAGCACCGGCUCACUACGUGCCAGCAGCCGCGGUAAUACGUAGGGUGCGAGCGUUGUCCGGCGUUACUGGGCGUAAAAAGCUCGUAGGCGGUGUGUCGCGUCGGCCGUGAAAUCCUGCUGCUUAACGGCGGGCUUGCGGUCGAUACGGGCAGACUAGAGUUCGGUAGGGGAGACUGGAAUUCCUGGUGUAGCGGUGAAAUGCGCAGAUAUCAGGAGGAACACCGGUGGCGAAGGCGGGUCUCUGGGCCGAUACUGACGCUGAGGAGCGAAAGCGUGGGGAGCGAACAG
rnacentral:rRNA from 1 species